AACGAACGCUGGCGGCAUGCCUAACACAUGCAAGUCGAACGAAACCUCCGGGUCUUGUGGCGCACGGGUGCGUCACGCGUGGGAACCUGCCCUUAGGUUCGGAAUAACUCCCCGAAAGGGGUGCUAAUACCGGAUAAUGUCUUCGGACCAAAGAUUUAUCGCCUUUGGUUGGGCCCGCGUUGGAUUAGCUUGUUGGUAGGGUAAAAGCCUACCAAGGCGACGAUCCAUAGCUGGUCUGAGAGGAUGAUCAGCCACACUGGGACUGAGACACGGCCCAGACUCCUACGGGAGGGAGCAGUGGGUAAUAUUGGACGAUGGGCGAAAGCCUGAUCCAGCAAUGCCGGGUGAGUGAUGAAGGCAUUAGGGUUCUAAAGCUCUUUUACCCGGGAUGAUAAUGACGGUACCGGGAGAAUAAGCUCCGGCUAACUCCGUG
rnacentral:rRNA from 1 species